UGCCUACGGGACGCAGCAGUGAGGAAUAUUGGUCAAUGGCCGGAAGGCUGAACCAGCCAUGCCGCGUGAAGGUCAGUGCCCUAUGGGCGUUAAACUUCUUUUGUGCGGGAGCAAUAAUGGUCACGUGUGGCCAGACGAGAGUACCGUACGAAUAAGCAUCGGCUAACUCCGUGCCAGCAGCCGCGGUAAUACGGGGGAUGCAAGCGUUAUCCGGAUUUAUUGGGCGUAAAGCGGGUGCAGGCGGUUCAAUAAGUCUGAUGUGAAAGCCUUCGGCUCAACCGGGGAAUUGCAUCAGCAA
rnacentral:rRNA from 1 species